UACGUAGGGUGCAAGCGUUGUCCGGAAUCAUUGGGCGUAAAGCGCGUGUAGGCGGCCCGGUAAGUCCGCUGUGAAAGUCCAGGGCUCAACCCUGGAAUGCCGGUGGAAACUGUCAGGCUCGAGUCCGGAAGAGGCGAGUGGAAUUCCCGGUGUAGCAGUGAAAUGCGUAGAGAUCGGGAGGAACAGCAGUUGCGAAGGCGGCUCUCUGGACCAGUACUGACGCUGAGGCACGAAAGCGUGGGGAGCAAACAGG
rnacentral:rRNA from 1 species